UGAAGUGUUUGGCGUAAGCCUGCAUGGAGCCGCCAUUGGUACAGAUCUUGGUGGUAGUAGCAAAUAAUCGAAUGAGAUCUUGGAGGACUGAAGUGGAGAAGGGUUUCGUGUGAACAGUGGUUGAUCACGAGUUAGUCGGUCCUAAGUUCAAGGCGAAAGUCGUAAAAUGUUAAAGUAAAUUAUAUUUAUAUAUUAAUACUUUAUAUCAUUUUAAUGAACGAAAGGGAAUACGGUUCCAAUUCCGUAACCUGUUGAGUAUACGUUUGUAAUUAAAAAUGGGCUUUAAUGCUCAUCCUGGUAACAGUAACAACCAUAAAGCAGCCGUCGAGAGGUAUCGAAAGAGUUUUCUUUUCUGUUUUAUAGUCGUAUUACCAUGGAAGUCUUUCGAAGAGAGAUAUGGUAAAUGGACUAGAAGAGCAUGGCAUUUACUGCUGUGUCGAUAUUUUCUCCUCGGACCUUGAAAAUUUAUGGUAGGGUCACGCAAAUUUCUUAACAGGCCGUACCGAUAUCCGCAGCUGGUCUCCAAGGUGAAGAGUCUCUAGUCGAUAGAAUAAUGUAGGUAAGGGAAGUCGGCAAAUUAGAUCCGUAACUUCGGGAUAAGGAUUGGCUCUGAAGAUUGAGAUAGUCGGGCUUGAUUGGGAAGCAAUAAUAUGGUUUAUGUACUCGUUCUGGGUAAAUUAGAAUGAAAUUUAUAUUUUAGAUGUAAAUGGAAUUUGUUCCCCGGAUAGUAGUUUACGUAACCAAUUGCGGAACUUUCUUGCUAAUAAUAUAUUAGAAAAAAGCGAUGAUAAUUUAUAUAUUUAUAACGGCUAUCAAUUAACAAUCAAUUCAGAACUGGCACGGACUUGGGGAAUCCGACUGUCUAAUUAAAACAAAGCAUUGUGAUGGCCCUAACGGGUGUUGACACAAUGUGAUUUCUGCCCAGUGCUCUGAAUGUCAAAGUGAAGAGAUUCAAGUAAGCGCGGGUAAACGGCGGGAGUAACUAUGACUCUCUUAAGGUAGCCAAAUGCCUCGUCAUUUAAUUCGUGACGCGCAUGAAUGGAUUAACGAGAUUCCUACUGUCCCUAUCUACUA
rnacentral:rRNA from 1 species